rnacentral:rRNA from 1 species
GCGAUGUGAAUCCUUCGGGUGGAUCAUCGCUGCGUGAGCGGCGGACGGGUGAGUAACACGUGGGUAACCUGCCCUGUACACCGGGAUAACGCACCGAAAGGUGUGCUAAUACCGGAUGAAGUGAACAUCUCGCAUGAGGUGAUCAUCAAAGCUGAGGCGGUACAGGAUGGACCCGCGUCCCAUUAGCUAGUUGGUGAGGUAACGGCUCACCAAGGCUACGAUGGGUAGCCGACCUGAGAGGGUGAUCGGCCACACUGGAACUGAGACACGGUCCAGACUCCUACGGGAGGCAGCAGUGGGGAAUAUUGCACAAUGGGCGAAAGCCUGAUGCAGCAACGCCGCGUGAGCGAUGAAGGCCUUCGGGUCGUAAAGCUCUGUCCUAAGGGAAGAUGAUGACGGUACCUUAGGAGGAAGCCCCGGCUAACUACGUGCCAGCAGCCGCGGUAAUACGUAGGGGGCAAGCGUUAUCCGGAAUCACUGGGCGUAAAGGGUGCGUAGGCGGCCAAUAAAGUCUGGGGUGAAAGGCUACGGCUUAACCGUAGUAAGCCUUGGAAACUUAUUGGCUUGAGUACAGGAGAGGAAAGUGGAAUUCCUAGUGUAGCGGUGAAAUGCGUAGAUAUUAGGAGGAACACCAGUGGCGAAGGCGACUUUCUGGACUGUUACUGACGCU